rnacentral:rRNA from 1 species
UACAGAGGGUGCAAGCGUUGUUCGGAAUUAUUGGGCGUAAAGCGCGUGUAGGCGGCCGUGCAAGUCGGGUGUGAAAGCCCUGGGCUCAACCUAGGAAGUGCACUCGAAACUGCAGAGCUUGAGUCUCGGAGAGGAUCGCGGAAUUCUCGGUGUAGAGGUGAAAUGCGCAGAUAUCAGGAGGAACACCAGCGGCGAAGGCGGUGCUCUGGGCCGGAACUGACGCUGAGGAGCGAAAGCGUGGGGAGCGAACAGG